rnacentral:lncRNA from 1 species
UUAAAGGCCCCUAAUGGGUAUGCCUUAAAAGCUCCUGUCGGGGUAUUUACACGAGGGAGGAGCCAACACGGAAAAGCCACCGCACUGAAUACGAAUUCGGUAUAGUUUGAUGGCAUGAAACUCCGCUCAUUACUGCUAGCAAGCAGCUCACCUCAACGCUGCACUUUUUUACGCAGACAGUGUUUCAGCCCAAGCGGGCUUAGUGGGCCCGCUGGGACGAUCAGUUACGUGCACCGCCACCACGCACUCGUCACCGCAGCAGACAUUGCUGCCUCCUCCGUCACCUCGGGGUAUAGCAGCCAGUUCGAAUCGCCCACGCCCGCCCACUGCAGUGGACCCAGACACAGCGCCUUCGUAGCUUCCUGUCUGCGGACGUAUCGCCCUUUAUGGACACCCUCUACACGGCCGUCAUCGGGGCAUGUGCGCUGUUCUGGAGGUGCCGUGUAUAGGACGUCGACGGUGGAGCACGCUACGAUGGCUUUUUCUCGGCGGUGCACAGUACAUGUUCGACCUGUAUGGGCACACAAGUUUUUAACUCAUCUCUUAUACAAGAGGAGCGACAGCGACUGACGAGCGCAAUGUCUCCGAAGGCUGUGGAAGACGCACACAAUUCACAGCACACCUGCACGAGAACCAAGCUGACGAGUACAGUCGCACAGAGGAAACUACAGCGAGACUGUUACAAUAAAUAUGUUGGUGAGGAUGAUCCCCUGUCUCAACGAGCCCAUCAAUCUUGUCAGACGGAACACCACAUCACUCUAGUGUGGUGCGCAAGACCAAAUGUGCCAACUCGCAGCACUGCAGUCCAGGUGGAACCAUGGGAACAGCAGCGUUGAUGGAAGUGCGCAAGAAGAUGAAAGUUCCUCUACUGCUAGGGCAGUAUGAAGCAGCUUCACAAGGCAGUAGCCACUGUCCUAGAGUGACCCUGGGCAAGCUUGCUCAUGACUAAGCCAUCAAAGAUGCUUUGAUGAAAGACAUCCUAAGGGAUCGGGUCUUCUUCGUCAGUUCAACUGCCAUGCUGCUGUGAGACUUGUGAAUCGAGAAGCCUACAUCCUAAGCAGUAUGAACAAAUCUGGGCCGGCAUGCUUAAGGGUCACAAGCCACUCUCAUUUGCCAUUAAAGCCAAAAAGUACCUGAUUACACUAAACUUGUGUCUGCCGAUGGCAGGAGCAACAUCUAAAAGAGCUUCCGCAAAAUUUAUUUUGCAGUCGUCGUCUUGGCACUUCCGUGGGACACUAGGUGUUGCCAUGUGAGAGCCCAGGAAUGUAUGCUCGGUUGCUAGCCAAGCUGUGGAGACCACCUUUUCUAUGCAACCCUGAAACGCCUAAAUAAUCAAACUCAACAUGCUAGCACAA